CGCUUCACUAGAGGUCAGCCUGCCCAGUGAUAAAAUUCAACGGCCGCGGUACACUAACCGUGCGAAGGUAGCAUAAUCACUUGUUCUUUAAAUAAGGACUCGUAUCAACGGCAUCACGAGGGCUAUACUGUCUCCUCUCUCCAAUCAGUGAAACUGAUCUCCCCGUGAAGAAGCGGGGAUUAGACUAUAAGACGAGAAGACCCCAUGGAGCUUUAAACCCAGCAUAUAUUCCCCCACAACACAUCAAAUUAACCCCGGAGUCCUAUAUGCUGGUUUUAGGCUGGGGGGGCCACGGAGUAAAACCAAACCUCCAUGACAAACGGACUAACACCCUUACCCACGAACCACAAUUCUAAGGAUUACUAAACUAAUGUUUAAUGACCCGAUAAUUCGAUCAACGAACCAAGUUACCCUGGGGAUAACAGCGCAAUCUACUUCAAGAGCCCUUAUCGACAAGUAGGUUUACGACCUCGAUGUUGGAUCAGGGAAUCCCAGUGGUGCAACCGCUACUAACGGCUCGUUUGUUCAACGAUUAAAACCCUACGUGAUCUGAUGUUUCCAAAACCGGA
rnacentral:rRNA from 1 species